GGCAUCACCAGCCAUCACCCACCAAAGAAAUGAACAAGAAAUCAGAUAAGGCAUCACCAGCCAUCACCCACCAAAGAAGAACAAAGAAAUCAAAUAAGGCAUCACCAGCCAUCACCCACCAAAGAAAUGAAAACGACUUCACCUGGUAUGAGAGAUAGAACACUAGGGAACCAUAUCCCUAGUUUUUUCAGGUAGGAGAUUCGCUCGGUCUCUUGCUCGGCCUCUGACCUCUCUCGUCUCAGAGAUGUUGGCGGUGGAGGGGCCUCCGGCAUCACCCCGGUUGCUAACCACGUGUCGUAGCCGGCGUCAGGGAGAAUGCAUUCAGUGAUGCCAACAUAUUUAGUGUACUUGUCGGCCUCGUACCACGCCAACUCUGAGAUCUCCGAUUUCGGCUGCAUCGACGCCGACAUGGAUGGAUCGAAGCCUGAGAACUCAGUUUCCGGCACGAACAUUACCAUUUCAGU
rnacentral:lncRNA from 1 species